rnacentral:rRNA from 1 species
GAGUUUGAUCGUGGCUCAGAUUGAACGCUGGCGGCAGGCCUAACACAUGCAAGUCGAGCGGAUGAAGGGAGCUUGCUCCUGGAUUCAGCGGCGGACGGGUGAGUAAUGCCUAGGAAUCUGCCUGGUAGUGGGGAUAACGUCCGGAAACGGGCGCUAAUACCGCAUACGUCCUGAGGGAGAAAGUGGGGGAGUCUUCGGACCUCACGCUAUCAGACGAGCCUAGGUCGGAUUAGCUAGUUGGUGGGGUAAAGGCCUACCAAGGCGACGAUCCGUAACUGGUCUGAGAGGAUGAUCAGUCACACUGGAACUGAGACACGGUCCAGACUCCUACGGGAGGCAGCAGUGGGGAAUAUUGGACAAUGGGCGAAAGCCUGAUCCAGCCAUGCCGCGUGUGUGAAGAAGGUCUUCGGAUUGUAAAGCACUUUAAGUUGGGAGGAAGGGCAGUAAGUUAAUACCUUGCUGUUUUGUACGUUACCAACAGAAUAAGCACCGGCUAACUUCGUGCCAGCCGCCGCCGUAAU